ensembl:misc_RNA Metazoa_SRP Metazoan signal recognition particle RNA
GCCGGGUGUGGUGUCGCAUGCCUGUAGUCCCAGCUACUCGGGAGGCUGAGGUGGGAGGAUUGCUUGAGCCUGGGAGGCCAAGGCUACAGUGAGCAGAGAUUGUGCCACUGCACACCUGCCUGGGUGACAGAGCAAGAGCCUGUCUCAA